UACUGCUCUUCUGCCUUGGAACUGAUAUUUUGUAUUGAUUCAAAGACAGAAGGGCAGAAC
rnacentral:pre_miRNA from 1 species